CUUUUGCUGAGGAGCAGGAAGGGAAGGAGUUACAAGACAACACCACCCCUCCACAUACACAGCCCGCACACCCCCGAACCAUAAUACAACUGUAGGUCUGAAAGGCCUCAGACAACAUUUUGUGCAACUGGUUCAGCUGGCAGAUGAGGAAGCGACCCAAAGAGAAGGGCCCGGACUGACGCCCUCCCCUGGAAGCCACCGGACCCACGUGUCCAGACAUUCUCGUGGAGUCUGGGUGGCUGCCCCCUCCACAAAAGCCCACCAACACACAAUCUACUGAGCAAAUGGAAACUCUUCUUAGCCCACCCCCCAGGCAGAGCCCUGUAAUUCCAACCUCUCCCCGUGGAUUCUGAAGCCUGCAAUCAGCAACAUUCAAAUAGUUACACAUGAGGUCCUUUGCUGCUUGAGGUCUGUGAAAGGAGCUACUAGUGGGAAGUUGAGAUUACUGGGUAUCUCCAACGUGGUGACAAUGCCCUAGGGCAACUGAUUUCCCAUCUCUAGGCCUAGAAAGCAGGACAGCAAGAUCCCAACACACUCAUGGCCCCCACAGAUGGAGAGAGGAGUGCAUGAGGCCAGAAGGUCAUGAGUCAAAUGCUCCUUUAAAGCAGACCGGUUCCCCACAGCCAACCUGGCCUGGAAGAAUCCCUACCACCUUUGGCCCCACUGGAAGGAAGGCAGGGGGGAAGAGGGACACCUGGGCCAGAUAUCAUCUGUGACAUCCAGCUGAAAUAUGAAAUGCUGACAUAUGAAGAGCUACCCCAGGCAGCUCUCCAGGCUACACAAGACACCAGAGACCUUAGGGGAACCUUCUAGCCUCUAAGGACAAGAAGCCGGCUGUCAGAGAAGUUUGGCCUGCAGAGCCCCUGAAGGCCACUCCCCAUCUCCACAUCCUCCUGGACUAGGACAAACUCCCGCUCCACCCCCAGGCCACGUGACUCCUGGCCCAGCCUCACGGUGGGAACAGUGCUUGGGUGUCUUCACCACCUGGGGAGAUGCAGGGAGAGCGAGUGCGGGUGACCAGAGCCCAUCCUGUGCCUAGUCCCGGCCACCAGGGAUCGUUAUCCUAGUUUCACAGGCGGCAGAGGCCAACUCACAAGCUCUCAGCACAGAGAGUUACUCCCUCA